UCAAUCCUUGCAGCCACACCACCAUACCCUAGCCGCCCCCCCAAUCUCCUCCUCCCAAGGUGCCAAUCCUUGCCGCUCGGAUCAUUGUCACGUGGUGCGAAUCUUCAAUUGUUUUGGUGGAGGGAAGAAGGGAGGAAGGAAAGGGGGAGAAUCCAAGGUGAUUUUUGUGUUCAUCCCUUGUUCAUUUGCACUGCAAUUCAAUUGAUUAGAGGUUGCGUUUGCGAUUGGGUAGAGGGGGCUGUCCAGAAUUUUAAGUGGUGGAUGAACAACAGUAGUUCUAGCAGUUUCUGGUUUUUUCGUGAGAAAUUAAUGGAAAUCAGUUUAGGGAUCAUGUAGAACUUUGUCUUACCUUUCCAACGAGUAUUUAUUGCGCUCAAUUUGGAGUUAUAAAUUGAAAGUUAUCACCGUUUGAAUCCGGGUAUGUGGCUGUCCAAAAAAACAGAUUUUCAGGGGGAUGAACAGCAGCAGUAUUAGCAGUUUCUGGGGAUUUUUCGGGAGUAAUUAGUGUUAAUAAGUAUAAGAAUCAUGAAGGGCUCUUUCUUAUCUUUCCAACAAGUACUUAUGCGCUUGAUUCGGACUUAUAUUUUAAAAGUUAUCGCUGUUUGAAUCCGAGUAUGUCGCUGCCCAAAACAGGAAAAACAGAUUGCAGGGUUUAUUUUGUGGACCGUUUAGGGGUAAUUAGAUGUUAGAAUUUAACCAUAAAUUGUAUACAAAACUUGUGGGGAAUUUUAUGUAGUUGUCUCUGGAGUUUUUGUUUGACACCACUGCUGUCUUAAUUUUAAAGUUAUGGAAUUGUUAAGCAGCGCCGCUGCAGUUUGGUUGGUGUGGGGAGAAUUGUUACCCGCGGCGGGGUUUGAGAUUACGCGUAGGUGCGGCGUUGUUUUGAGGCUUUUUAUGUAAAUUUGGUGCACUAAGUUGGGUGUCAAAAACAGGUGGUGGACUUCCGGAUCGUUCUUAGGGAUUUGCCCAAACUUCCGAUGAAGGCAAGUAAAACUGUGAUGGUUAUUCCGUCUGCCAGAUGAGGAGUCUUAUACUUGAUUAUGUUGUGUUAUGGUGUUCAUAUUCAUAUUUUUUUUGAGUACCAUCAUUUGAAAAUGUUCAUGUUUCAUGGAUUUCAUAUAUUGAGUUUGAGGUUUGAUUAUGUUACUCAAGUGGUUAUUAUGUGGAAUGGGUGGAAGUAUAUGUCUAGCACAUUUUUAUUUGGAAAGAACUCAUGAUGUUGUCAUGCAUAAUGCACUCAUCAUCCAUUGCAUUGAAGUUUCGUCGCGAUCUUAUGGUCCGACCAUACCGGUACAUUGAGCAUCAUAUGUUGCCCGAGAAGGGGUAUGGUGCAGCUUCAUAUCCUUAGAGAUAUGGAGGCAGAAGUCAUUAUUGCAUCUGUAGCCAUGUGCAUUCAUGGGAGAGGUGUGGAAUCUAUUAUGUGGAUGUGGAUAAUUUGGACUUGUGCAUGGUGAUUCUUCUUGGCGUGAAGUAUUUAGUUGCUUGUUUACUUGCUGCAAUUUACUGUUCAAAAAAAGAAGUUCUGAACCACGUGGUUGUGUAAGCACAGUUGAUUUACAAUGUCCUAUUUGUUGUUGUUAUGUUUACUUGCUGAGAUGUGUUAUCUCACAUCUUGCAUUGUUUGAUGCAGGCACCUAAUUUCUGCUUUGGAAAUAGAGGGAUGUAGCAGCAUGGCCACUACACCUUUAAUAAAGGAACCACCAUUUAAUAAUGUUGUUAAUCAGAGUUGGUCAAGUCUAG
rnacentral:lncRNA from 1 species